GCGCGCAGGCGGGCCGAUAAGUGUCGUGUGAAAGCCCCCGGCUCAACCGGGGAACGGCGCGGCAGACUGUCGGUCUUGAGGCAGGCAGGGGCGAGUGGAACUCUAGGUGGAGCGGUGAAAUGCGUAGAUAUCUAGAGGAACGCCGGUGGCGAAAGCGGCUCGCUGGGCCUGUCCUGACGCUGAGGCGCGAAAGCGUAGGGAGCGAACGGGAUUAGAUACCCCGGUAGUCUACGCCGUAAACGAUGCGCACUAGGUUUAAGGGCUUCUGAGAGUCUUUGUGCCGUAGCAAAAGCGUUAAGUGCGCCGCCUGGGGAGUACGGCCGCAAGGCUAAAACUCAAAGGAAUUGACGGGGGCUCACACAAGCGGUGGAGCAUGUGGCUCAAUUUCGAAGCAACGCGAAGAACCUUACCUGGGUUUGACAUGCCUGGAUGCCGCCUUGGAAACAGGGUUAGGCUGCCCUUUGGGUGAAACAGGCACAGGUGCUGCAUGGCUGUCGUCAGCUCGUGCUGUGAAGUGUUGGGUUAAGUCCCCUAACGAGCGAAACCCUUGUCGCUAGUUAUUUUCUCUGGCGAGACUGCCCCGCAAAACGGGGAGGAAGGCGGGGAUGACGUCAAAUCAGCAUGGCCUUUAUGCCCUGGGCUACACACACGCUACAAUGGAUGGUACAAUGGGUGGCAAUGGAGUGAUUCGGAGCUAAUCCUAAAAACCAUUCCCAGUUCGGAUUGCAGGCUGAAACCCGCCUGCAUGAAGU
rnacentral:rRNA from 1 species